CGGCGACACCUAGUGACCGUUCCCUCGCGGUGCGACAGCCUCACACCUGUGCGGGGGGUCGCGGGGGGCGUAGGGUGCUGCGGCCUUGCGGUCUUCUCCUGCGCUGCAAGGCAGGGCAUGGUGGCAGAUUAACACCUGGAUGAACACGGGCAGCCUGCAGACUCUCUCCACGUGCGGGUGCCCUGCAGCCUGACACACAAAUGCGUUCAUCCUUCCCCUUUAUCCAGACCCCGAAGCAGGGCAGGGCCGCCCAGCUCCAGCUCAGACACACACCUGCUCCAGCUGCUGUGCUCGUCACAGGCCCAGAGCGCCACGUGUCCUCUGGGGUCUGUGUGGUUGGCGCAGUGCGUGGGACCGCUGUGAGUGACCCUCCUCUUGUGUCAUAGAGCCACUGUACCCGUGUGCACCUGUGCUCUGAGACCUGGAUACCCCUGGAAGGACAGACACCAAGGACCCGAGUGCACUGGAGUCCCGCUCCCACAGAUCCUGCUGCUGGGAGAACUGUCAGCCAGGAAUGGGACUGCGAUGGGGAAUUCCUUCUGUCAACACACUUUCUAAUCUAAGCUCCAGACUCCACUUCCAGACUAGCGCAGGCUUUUUCCCCUACAUCUCCUUCUCUGCAGCCGGGGCUCCUGCCGGGUCUGCGGAGCCCAGAGCCAUGCUCUCUGCCGACUCCAUCUCCAGAUGCCUGCCCCGGCAUCCACACUGUUGCCAGGACACCAGUGAACCCAGACAGGGUGAGCAGGUUGCAGCAGGGUACUGGGAGGAAUGCCUGGCUGGCCCGUGUCUUGAAAUCAGUCUCAUUGAACAAUCCG
rnacentral:lncRNA from 1 species